rnacentral:rRNA from 1 species
CCUACGGGAGGCAGCAGUGGGGAAUAUUGGGCAAUGGGCGCAAGCCUGACCCAGCAACGCCGCGUGAAGGCAGAAGGCUUUCGGGUUGUAAACUUCUUUUGUCAGGGAAGAGUAGAAGACGGUACCUGACGAAUAAGCCACGGCUAACUACGUGCCAGCAGACGCGGUAAUACGUAGGUGGCAAGCGUGGUCCGGAUUUACUGGGUGUAAAGGGCGUGUAGCCGGGUUGACAAGUCAGAUGUGAAAUCCUGCGGCUUAACCGCAGAACUGCAUUUGAAACUGUUGAUCUUGAGUACUGGAGAGGCAGAUGGAAUUCCUAGUGUAGCGGUGAAAUGCGGAGAUAUUAGGAGGAACACCAGGGGCGAAGGCGGUCUGCUGGACAGCAACUGACGGUGAGGCGCGAAAGCGUGGGGAGCAAACAGGAUUAGAGACCCCAGUAGUC